ensembl:lncRNA
UGGCCACGUGUUGUCCAUUAUCUCUGGGAAGCAGCCCGCCCGGCUCCUCUGAGUCUGUAUAAUUUAUUACCUUCACACCCGCACAGAAUGUUAAUGUGACUGCUUAUCUCCAACUCAGCGAGCAGGACAGAUGCUCAGGAGGGAAGCGGCUGCUGCAAAGGCAGCCUGGGCUGUUGGGACAGGGGCCCUGCAGACGGACGAACAGACAGACAGCCAGCCCUGGUGAGAACUCGACUCUGUUUCCUCGCGUCCGUGUGGCCCUGAGCAGUUCUGUCAUCAUCCAGGCCGCAUGGCUGCCCUGGAGCCGGGGGGUCAGACCCUCAAGGCUGCCUUCUCCCGGGGGCUCCCCGGCGCUGUGUGGUUGCUCAGAUGCUCAUGGGAGCCCGACGGCUGCUCAUCUCAGGCCCCCAGGACAGCCCGACAGCCCAGCCGCUGCACCUUGGACGUGGGCUCUCCGAGACGAGGGCCACACUGGUCCUGGGGGACCCGGACCGGGCUGGGAUCCCGCAUCUAGUUAGCACAGCACAGGAAGCAGAGACCACAGCCCAGGGCACUCCUGGUGACAGAGCUGUUUUAUGCACAUGAAGCACAACCUUGAAUACAACAGCCCCAACUCCCAGCCUCAUGGAGGUUAUAUGCAGCGAUGGUCCCCUGCUGCUGUCAUUCUGGUCACCGUCACUGGUCAGCGGCCCAGACCCUUGGCCAGCCUGUAGGGUCCACCCCAGCCUUGCCGUGUACUAGCUGUGUAGCUGUGCAGUUCCUACCUCUGGUCUAGUAGGACUGUUGGUGGUGACAUGAAGGACCACAUGCCGGGCACAGAGCAAGACCCAUAAUGCAGCUGCUGUCAUCACUCGUUGUUUGUAUGAAGAAGUGGAGAUGCAGAGAGGGGAAGACACUGGCCCAAAGACACAUAGCUUGAAAGUGGGAAAACCGGGGUCCACACCCAUGCAGCUCUGCCCCCCACACUCAGCUCCUAAGGAGGCACCACAUGUCUUGGCCCCCACACAGACUCUAGGUCGUCAGGACCUGGGCAGGCACGGGAGGCGUGCAGCGUCUGGAGCAUCCGGAGCGUCUGGAAAAUGUGCUUUAUAAAGGGCCCUGCGGCUGCAAAGGCGGAUUUCUCUGGCUCCGUCUGAAGGGACACUGUCUCUGUUCCAGUCUGAUAAUGGCUUUAAGGACCACAUGUUUAUGCCAUUGUGAAAGAAAGCAUGACUUGCUUGUCUAAAACUAAUGGGUUUGAAAAUCCCCAAGGUGACGAGCUGGUGGCCGGCAGUGACAGGCCCCAGCCUCCCAGGGUCACGUGGUGGGACAAGCUCGCCUGGGCCCCAAGGUUCCCAUGUGAACACUGCAGAGUCGGACGGGCUCUGAUGCGUCACUACUGGUCUGCAGAAGCUGUCCUUGUGUCCGGGGAUGGGCCCUCCACUGCCUGGGCCUGCGUCACAGGGGGCUGAGUGGACCCGGAGAACCAAAGCCCACCCUGAACUGAGGGGCGGUCAGAGAACAGCACCUGGAAGAGGCCCCUCUGCUGGGCCGCCUGAGGAGCAGACACCCACUAGGACCUCCCACUGCAAGCGCCAUCCCACAUCUGCGCCCCUGGCCCUCUUAACUGGGCCUGGUUUCACCUCUGCGCCCCCCAUAGACCCCAGCUGAACGCUGCUCUGCCACAACUUUGCUCUGCCCACACCCUGAGGCCAGGAACAGUGCUGCCCACCACGUCCCUCCUAACUCCUGGUCCUGUGGUUCACAUCAGGAACGGAUUCCCCAACAGAGAACUCAGACACGGAUGGCUCAGAAAUGUGACUGAGGGGUCUGUGAUCUGCCCUGAGAUUUGGUCUGGACGUUUCUGUGAGGCUGUUUCUGGAUGAGAUGUACACUGAAAUUGGUGGACUUCGAGUAAAGCCGACUGCCCUUCCUCAUGUGGUGGGCCUGGUCCAAUCAGUGGAAGGCCUGGAGAGAACCAAAGGCUGACCUCCCCGAGGUCAAGGGGGAAUUCUGCAGCAGACACCUUCGGAUGGGAACCGCACCAUCAGCUCUCCUGGUCUGCAGCCUGCCGGCCAGCCCUGCCCUUCUGGACGCACAAGCCUCCACCCUCACUGAGCCGAUUCCUCCCACAAGUCCCUUUCUAGACGCCCACACUUCUCCUCGGUUCUGCUUCCCUGGAGAAUGCUGACUGCGUGGGCUCUGAGUGUGCACCACAGGGCCAGCUCCUGGGCUGACCCUGGAACUCAGAUUCUUCAGCACGAGAUGCCUAGCCAUCUGCAUGAAGCAUUUUCUCCCGGAAAUGAAUCCCCAGGCCUCCCGUUCUUUAUUGUAGGUGAGGGCCAUAUUACUGCUGCUCGAACAUUUCCUUAGCUGUUAGUAUCCAGAAAGAGAAGAUUACUUGCUUCUGGAAUCCACUGUUGUUAAGAUGACAAUAAUCCCCAAAGCAAUCUACAAGUUCAAUACAAUCCAUAUCAAACUUCCAACUGCCUUUUUGCAGCAGCAGAGAUGAUGAUUCUAAAAUUCACAUGGAAGUGCACACGGUGGUGGUGAGUCUGGACGGGCACUUCCUGGGGAAUUGGGAUUUGGUAGUUGGAGGCAGUGGGAGCACCAGGGGUAGAGAAAUCUUGUGGUCAGGGUGGGCCUGCGCAUGAGUGCAGGCUGUGGGCAGGGACACACAGGGUGGUGGGCAGCACCAUCAGGAGAAGCAGAAACGCAAGUGGAUGGGUCUCGUGACUUGGGGUUGGGGAGCAGGAUUCACUGCGAGAGCAGGUGGGGCCACCAUGAGAGGAGGUGGGGCCAAACAAGAGGGGGUGGGUUCAUGUGAGACGGGGCCAGUCACCAUGAUGGGGCACGGUCAGAUGGGGGUGAGUGGGGCCUCAAGCGGUCAAUUCCUCCCAGUUUGACUCCCCCAGGGAGGAUUCCUACUUAUGUCUGAGAACUUUCUUUCCUGCUGGCAGGUCCUUUUAUGGUGUAUCCAGCCAUACCACAGUGACCCCUCCCCAUGUCCCCAGCCACAUCAGCUACCAAUCCCUGUGUCCCAAGGCUACAUAGCAGUGGCCCCUCCCAGUGUCCCCAAGCCACAUCACAGUGACCCCUGCACCACCAGGAUGCAUAAUGGUCAGUCUAAGCAGCAGGCGGAGUGGCCACCUGUUUAUAAAAUGACAGGUCCCGCAUCUUCAGGAUGGUCUGGAGGUUUAUUUUGGGCAGAGGGAGGAGCAGACAGAGGCCACAAUUAAGGAGUUUAUGGCACAUCCAGGGAUGCAGCUCUCCCCGGGCAGUCCUGCCUCAACCUCUAACGCUGCGGGAAUGAACUCCUAGUGGCCCUCGCCUCGCCUGUUCCUGCCUCCUCUCUGCAUCUCCCUGUUCUGCUCCAUGCUCACCUUCCCUCUGUCCCCAUCUCUCUGUUCUCUGAGAGCUGCAGCUGGAAAAGCCAAAUGCAGGAACAGUCAUGGGUCCCAGGCCAGCCUGUGAUAGCACAUUUUCCACUGAGAACUUGGUGACUAGGUGUUACCUGGCUUGGGGACGAUCUGAAAACACCUUCUGUUCAAUUUUGAGGCAGGCUGUUCUAAUUCCAGAUCCCCAUGUAACUUCAGUUGUUUUUCCUUGUUUUUGGCCUGAAACAUCAAAGCAAUUUCCUCUGCGUGUCUGCCUCACCUGUCUGGCGGGUUUCCAGGCUGAAUACAAGCCAUGAGCAUGGUAAUCAAGAGUCUGCAGGCUCGGCCGUCUCUCAAAUGGGACUCAUGGGGUUUAGGAGAUGAGAGAGGGUUUGGGAAACCACAGAGGAUCACAACUUAGACUGAAUUCCCUUCUGUCACCAGACCCACCGCUGGGUCCCCGAAUCCCACACUGACAGUGAAGACAGAGAAACUCCAGGUCCCUGGAGUUGUGUGAACACCACAGUCCCGAGGCCUUCUGAGGGCGUCUCCGACCCUGGUCCCCAGUGGCCAUGGCUGUGCCGCUGUUCUGCAGAAGACCCCUCCCGCGUGUCUCCUCCGCACUCAGUGCAUGUGGAGGGAGGCAGGUGGGGAGUUUGGGGCUUGAUCUAGGACUGGGGCCUGGCUGUCACCUGGAGGUAAAGAGGAGCCUGUCACGCACACGGUGUCUGCAUCGCGUGGUCAGGACAUGUCCACCAAUGGGACAGCCCUGACUCAAGCCCCAUCAAGCCCAAAGGGGCCUCGAUUGGCUCGUGGGCCUGGAAGGGCAAGGGGAGGUGGAGAGGCAGGCAUCAUCUGGACAGGGGAGGAGGGUGUGGGUGGCCAUGUAUCAGGGCCAUUGGGAUGUCCUCAGAUGACUUGAUUGACACAUUGGAAGAAGGGUGCCUGAGGUUCAAGCAGCAGCCUUGGGUGAAUGGGACGUUGUGGGGGUGUGAGUGAAGGCGUAUGCACACCCUCAGUGUCCUGGGCACGGCCCACCUCUCCACCACAUGCAGACGUUACACACGUGACUGUAUUCAUUCUUGGGGACCUUCUUGGCUUCCUUUUUAAGAGAUGCGAUGGCCCACUUAGUGGGUCAGGUGUGGGGCUUUCUUAUUCCACUCCUGCUGUCCAGAUGCCUGGAGCCCACUCCUCGUCUGGGUGGAUGAGUGUUCUGAGCCCUGGAAGGGGGACUGUCCACCCAGGGUGUGCUGGAUUUGGGAGCUGAGACAAGCGUCCAGGGUGUGCCCAAUUCAGGUGCACAUCUGAGGUGGGGGACAGAGAAGACUUGUGCUGCAGGCUGCUCUCCACUGGCGCUCCAUGAAGGAAGCAGGCAGAAAGAUGGCAGGGAGCGAGGCCACUGCAUCUGCACUCCUCGCAGACUAGGGGGGCAGAAUGCCUCCCCAGCCUCCGUCUUUACCAUCUCUGCUGCCCUCCCAGCCUGUGGGGUCUUUGGCAGAGAUGGGAAGGGCAGGACAACUGUGUCUGAAGGGCAACUCUGUUCCUGUCACUGCCGCCUGCCCUGCCCGCCCCUUUUUUGAGGUUAACAGUUGCCAUUUUCAGUGGUCUCCUUGUCUGUGCAUGGAGGUGGGAAUGGGGGAGAUCCCCAGAGUGCAACUGGAAGAAUUUAUGUGCAAAGACGGGCAGAAUUACCACCCCAAUACUCAGAAUACCACAGUGCCCUGAGCAGUGAUGAAGCUCUGCUCAGGUCUUUCCUUGGAAAAGGGUAAGCCAGUGAACCUGGGCCGGGGGCCCUUGUGGGCUGUGUGGAGAGGCAGCACCAGGCUCUGGGUCAUGUCAGGGUCAGACAGAACAGGGUUCACCUCCCACUCAUGCUGGACUUAUUUGUUUUCUCUUGAACAAAUCUAAGACCUGGCACUGGACUCCGUCCCUUCCUGACAGCACACUUGGCUGGAGCCGAGCAGCGCGUGUCCCCAACGCGGCCCCUGCAGGAUCCUGAGCCCUCGGGCCUGACGUCAGCUGUCUGCAGUAGGGCGCUGGGCUGGGCUCUGGCAGCCUGACGCCUCCAUCCAGCUUCCCGUCAGCUUUCCCGUCAUUAACUCCGUGAGGCCUCCUGAGCCACGUCCUUCCUUCCGGCUGGGUUAGCGCCAGCUUUGGGCCUGAGUACAGACAGUCUGCGGGCAGCUGGGCUCUCAGCCUUGAGCUACUAAUCAGGAGGGGCUGGAGGCUGCCCCAGGGCGCGGUGAGGUCACACUGCAUGGACAGCCCCUCAGAGGGAGGCUGCUCCUGGAGACUGGCACCCUGGUCUUACGCCCCUCACACG